rnacentral:rRNA from 1 species
GAUCUUUAUUUUUUUUUAUUAUAAAUUAAAAAGAAUAAUAAAAUUUAUAAUUUUAUAAAAAAUUUUACUGGGGUGGUAUUAAAAUUUAAUUAACUUUUAUAGUUUAUUAACAUUAAUAUAUGGUUUAUUGAUCCAAUUUUAUUGAUUAAAAAUUUAAGUUACCUUAGGGAUAACAGCGUAAUUUUUUUUUAGAGUUCAUAUCGACAAAAAAGAUUGC